rnacentral:lncRNA from 1 species
GCAGCGGAACUGAGCUGGGGGGGGGGGUGGCUUGGGCAGGGGGUGCCUUUGAGGGGCAGGGUGGGCAGAGGUCCCUUGGGUGCGGGGUCCUGGGGCCGGGGGGCCCUGUCCUGUCCUGUGUCACCAGGAGCUGGUGAGUGGAGACCGUGCCCAGCAGUGCCUGCAGUGGGGCCACUGCUCCCCACUGGGUCUAUCCCCGUGCCCCUUUCCCUUCCCCACACCCCGUUCUCACCCACACAGUGCCCUGCGUCCUCACCCCCGUUAUGUUUCCAGCACGCUUUGUUCCCAGAUGUUUAAUUUCAGCUCCAGCGCUGGGUUUCCAGCCCGGUCCCAGCUCCAGGCACUGCACACACCUGAUGCUCCAGCUCAUUUCAGCGCUGCCUAAUUACAGCUCGUGCCCUGCAGCUCAGCUCCACGCGGGCUGCUCCAGGUAAGAGAUGCUCUAGCUUCUCACAACUCCAGCUGAGCAGUGUUUUCAUCUCACCCUGCACCCCAGGAUUUAUUUACACCCAGAUCUUCAUUUUCAGCUCAUGCCCUGCAGUUGAGCUCCAGGUCUACAUUUUUAAUUCAGGCCCUGAGUUCCAGGCCUUCAUUCAGCCCCAGCCCUGCAUCUCAGUACGCACCAGCUCGUGCCCUGCCGGCCAGCUCCAGCUCUCACGGCUCAGCUCCAUCCCUGUGGCUCAGCCCCAGAGGCCGCACGCUGCAGCUCCAGCCCCUGGACGCUCUGGUUCCUUUCAGUCUGAGCUCCCCAGCUGGGCACUAGCAGUGAUGCUCAGCAUCCAACCACCUGUUUUGAGCAGGUUCUGACAAGGCCAUAAAUCCAUCGCUGCCAUAACUGGGGUACCAACAUUAACCACCACACCUGUACGCUGCGUAAAUAGUGCCUGGCACAAGCACCAAAUAAAGAGUUGAACUGCAAAGUCGCCUUUGGCGCC